UCGAGAAUCUUCGGCAAUGGGCGAAAGCCUGACCGAGCGAUGCCGCGUGUGGGAUGAAGGCCUUCGGGUUGUAAACCACUGUCGUAGGGGAUUAAUGGUAGGUGGGUUCUCCCAUCUAUUUGAACGAUCCUAGGAGGAAGGACGGGCUAAGUUCGUGCCAGCAGCCGCGGUAAGACGAACCGUCCAAACGUUAUUCGGAAUCACUGGGCUUACAGAGUUCGUAGGCGGUCCGGUAAGUUAGGUGUGAAAUCCCUCGGCUCAACCGAGGAACUGCGCUUGAUACUGCCGGACUCGAGGGAGAUAGAGGAAAGCGGAACUGAUGGUGGAGCGGUGAAAUGCGUUGAUAUCAUCAGGAACACCGGUGGCGAAGGCGGCUUUCUGGGUCUCUUCUGACGCUGAGGAACGAAAGCUAGGGUAGCGAACGGGAUUAGAUACCCCCGUAGUCC
rnacentral:rRNA from 1 species